rnacentral:rRNA from 1 species
AUGUCUUCUUCAAGCUCCCGCGCCACCUCGCGGAUGCAAAGCCUAGCGCGCAUGCAGAUGUCGAUCUUUGUUAGUCCGCGGUGCCGGGCGGGCAUUGAUCGGAGGGUUUCUCACACACCGAAGAACCAUAAUCGUCUGUUCUACGUGUGCAGUGAGAAUGGGGUGAAAUGUUGGUUCCUUUGGGUCGAUGCUCUGGCCAAGACUCUGAUGAAUGAACUGCAAGAAUAGCAUGAAGAAUGGUUGCCCAUGCUGCCAUGAACGGCAGUGGCCGCAACACAAGCUCCGGAAGAACAGACGGGGGGCGAAGCAUGCAAUGAUAGAGAGCUAGCUGUUGAGCUUAGGAUGUUGAAGAAGAUGGUUAGGAAGCUUGAAGAUCAAGCACAAAUACCCAUUUGCAAUUACUUUUGGGCAUUCGUUGGUAUGGUAAUCACACUGGGUGUAAUGUUGAAAUUGUAUGGAAAGGCAUGA